UACCUACGGGGGGCAGCAGUGGGGGAUAUUGGACAAUGGGGGAAACCCUGAUCCAGCGACGCCGCGUGAGUGAAGAAGUAUUUCGGUAUGUAAAGCUCUAUCAGCAGGGAAGAAAGAAAUGACGGUACCUGAGUAAGAAGCCCCGGCUAAAUACGUGCCAGCAGCCGCGGUAAUACGUAUGGUGCAAGCGUUAUCCGGAUUUACUGGGUGUAAAGGGAGCGCAGGCGGUGCGGCAAGUCUGAUGUGAAAGCCCGGGGCUCACCCCCGGGACUGCAUUGGAAACUACCGA
rnacentral:rRNA from 1 species